GACGAACGCUGGCGGCGUGCUUAACACAUGCAAGUCGAACGGAAAGGCCCCUUCGGGGGUACUCGAGUGGCGAACAGGUGAGUAACACGUGAGUAACCUGCCCUUGACUUCGGGAUAACUUCAGGAAACUGGGGCUAAUACCGGAUAGGAAUCCUUGCUGCAUGGUGGGGGUUGGAAAGCUUCGGCGGUUUUGGAUGGACUCGCGGCUUAUCAGCUUGUUGGUGGGGUAGUGGCUUACCAAGGCUUUGACGGGUAGCCGGCCUGAGAGGGCGACCGGCCACAUUGGGACUGAGAUACGGCCCAGACUCCUACGGGAGGCAGCAGUGGGGAAUAUUGCACAAUGGGCGGAAGCCUGAUGCAGCGACGCCGCGUGCGGGAUGACGGCCUUCGGGUUGUAAACCGCUUUCAGCAGGGGCGAAGCUUGUGGUGACGGUACCUGCAGAAGAAGCACCGGCUAACUACGUG
rnacentral:rRNA from 1 species